rnacentral:rRNA from 1 species
UAACACAUGCAAGUCGAGCGGAGAUAAACAGCAAUGGUUAUCUUAGCGGCGGACGGGUGAGUAACGCGUGGGCAACCUGCCUUUAUCCGGGGGAUAACAUCGGGAAACCGGUGCUAAUACCGCAUAACAUCGCAUUUUCGCAUGGAAGAGCGAUCAAAGGAGCAAUCCGGAUAGAGAUGGGCCCGCGUCCGAUUAGAUAGUUGGUGGGGUAACGGCCUACCAAGUCGACGAUCGGUAGCCGGACUGAGAGGUUGAUCGGCCACAUUGGGACUGAGAUACGGCCCAGACUCCUACGGGGGGCAGCAGUGGGGAAUAUUGCACAAUGGGGGAAACCCUGAUGCAGCAACGCCGCGUGAAGGAUGAAGGUUUUCGGAUUGUAAACUUCUUUGACCGGGGACGAAUAAUGACGGUACCCGGAAACCAAGCCACGGCUAACUACGUGCCAGCAGCCGCGGUAAUACGUAGGUGGCGAGCGUUGUCCGGAAUUACUGGGUGUAAAGGGCGUGUAGGCGGGUUUGCAAGUCAGAUGUGAAAUUCCGGGGCUUAACUCCGGCGCUGCAUUUGAAACUGCAAGUCUUGAGUACUGGAGAGGGAAGCGGAAUUCCUAGUGUAGCGGUGAAAUGCGUAGAUAUUAGGAGGAACACCAGUGGCGAAGGCGGCUUUCUGGACAGUAACUGACGCUGAGGCGCGAAAGCGUGGGGAGCAAACAGGAUUAGAUACCCUGGUAGUCCACGCUGUAAACGAUGGAUACUAGGUGUAGGAGGUAUCGACCCCUUCUGUGCCGGAGUUAACACAAUAA